rnacentral:misc_RNA from 1 species
CGCACAUUGCACCCCUUGGUAUUCCGGGGGGUAUGCCUGUUCGAGCGUCAUUAUAACCCCUCCAGCCUCGCUGGGUCUUGGGCGUCGCCGUCGGCGGGCCUUAAAAUUAGUGGCGGUGCUCUGAGGCUCUACGCGUAGUACAUAUUCUCGCGAGAGGGUCCUGGGAGACGCUGGCCAGCAACCCUAAUUUCUCAAGGUUGACCUCGGAUCAGGUAGGGAUACCCGCUGAACUUAA